UAUGUUUUUCACUUUGUUUUUUCAGUUGAUUUUAACUCAUUUUGAAGAAAAUGUAUGCUUGAACUUUUGCUGGAUCAUAUUUUUGAUAGACUCCGUGAUCGUUUGGAGCACUUGGUUGUACACAUCAUCCAAUUCCUGAACCCCACGGUGCCUUGACAGAGGGUGUACAGAUUCCCGAAAUUGAAUGGGAGGACAGCGGGCUUCCUCUUCCCGAAGAGUCAAAUGUCACAGUACCAAACUCUAAUUUGCAACUGACUGACAAACAAAUGGCAGCCUUAAGAAAUGCAGUAAACCCAAAAGCCACA